GAAUCUUGCGCAAUGGGCGAAAGCCUGACGCAGCGACACCGCGUGAGGGAUGAAGGCCUUCGGGUCGUAAACCUCUUUCGGCAGGGACGAAGCGAUCAGUGACGGUACCUGCAGAAGAAGCCCCGGCUAACUACGUGCCAGCAGCCGCGGUAAGACGUAGGGAGCGAGCGUUGUCCGGAUUCAUUGGGCGUAAAGAGCGCGCAGGCGGUUUGGUAAGUCGGAUGUGAAAUCCCGGGGCUCAACCCCGGACCUGCAUCCGAUACUGCCCGACUAGAGGUAGGUAGGGGAGAUCGGAAUUCCUGGUGUAGCGGUGAAAUGCGCAGAUAUCAGGAGGAACACCGGUGGCGAAGGCGGAUCUCUGGGCCUUACCUGACGCUCAGGCGCGAAAGCUAGGGGAGCGAACAGG
rnacentral:rRNA from 1 species